UACAGAGGAGCCAAGCGUUGUCCGGAUUGACUGGGCGUAAAGCGCACGCAGGCGGUUGCGCGCGUGGGGUGUGAAAUCUGGCCGCUUAACGGUCAGGCGCCAUCCCAUACGGCGCGACUGGAGUGAUGCAGAGGUCGAUGGAAUUGCCGGUGUAGUGGUGAAAUGCGUAGAGAUCGGCAGGAACACCCAGGGGGAAACCAGUCGACUGGGCAUCUACUGACGCUGAGGUGCGAGAGCGUGGGGAGCGAACCGG
rnacentral:rRNA from 1 species